GACGAACGCUGGCGGCGUGCCUAAUACAUGCAAGUCGAACGCAGUGGGGACGGGUGAGUAACACGUGGGUAACCUCCCAUCAGAGGGGAUAACACUUGGAAACAGGUGCUAAACCGAUACUGAUGGAUGGACCCGGGGUGCAUUAGCUAGUUGGUGGGGUAACGGUUCACCAAGGCCACGAUGCAUAGCCGGCCUGAGAGGGUGACCGGCCACACUGGAACUGAGACACGGCCCAGACUCCUACGGGAGGCAGCAGUAGGGAAUCUUCGGCAAUGGGCGAAAGUCUGAUCGAGCAAUGCCGCGUGUGUGAAGAAGGUUUUCGGAUCGUAAAACUCUGUUGUUAGAGAAGCGUUAUCUAACCAGAAAGCCACGGCUAACUACGUGCCAGCAGCCGCGGUAAUUC
rnacentral:rRNA from 1 species